UUGACUUUUUCUGAUCCCAGUCGUUGCAAUGGGAGUAAUGGUGGGAGAUUCACUGUUGUUUGUUCCUGAUUUGCAGUGCCAGCGUGUCCUCAGGAAUGGAUCGAAAAUGAAGGUCGCUGUUAUUUCCUAUCCAUCCUGAAGAAAUCUUACGAUGGAGCGAAGGAACAUUGCUCAAUCUUUGAUGCAAGGCUCCUCAAAAUAAAUUCAAACCAGGAAGAGGAUUUUGUUUCCACCUCGAUCGGCGAUGAAUACAAAACUUACUGGAUUGGAAAAUGCAGAGACGGGAAGGUGGACUCUAAUCUUCUGUACAAGCCCUAUAGAUGGUCCAGCUGCAGUAAAUGCAGCACGUUCAGUGGCUACAAUUUCGAAAGUAAUUACAGAUUCAUCUGCGAGAAGUCGGCACAUUUAUGCCGGGAUAUUCCUGCAGAGAUCCGAGGUCUCUGUCAACACCCCGUGGUGAAGACUUAAAUCAAAUGAAUGCAUGCCACUUCUCCCCAUUCAAUCUACCCCACUUUCAAAUCCCCAUCUUUUUACUCCUUCCCACCCCCUCCUUCUACCCUUGUCUCCUCCCCUACUCACAGCCCCAUUCUCCCCCACUACUCUCCCUCUCCCCAUCUGGACCACUUUUCACACUUCCCGCCCCGCUCUUCCCAGAUCGCCCCAUUUAGUCCCCCUUUUUAUUCCUCUCUUUGCCCUUCUCCCCAGCUCAUUCCGCUUCUGCCCUUGCUCUCUCCCCCUCGGACCCCAUUCUCUGCCUCUCCGCUCUCCGUUCUCACCACCCUCUCUCACCUCAAUCCUGUGCACUCUGGCUCUCAAUUCCCCAACCCAGGGGAAAAGGCUGUGCACAUUCACCCUCUCUGUGCCCCUCCUGGCUUCAUACCCUCGCUCCAAGAAAUGUAGACACAUCCUUCCUGCUUGCUUCUGUCCGGCGACAUCCUCGUAAAUCUCCCCCGCACUCUUUCCAGCUCAGUGGCAUCUUUCCUACAGGAGGGUGACCAGAACUCAACACCGCCCUCCAAGCGCGGCCUCACCGACGCCUUGUACAACUUCAACGUGACCCCGGUACGGUGCAAUGAUGUAAAAUUAACGUAAACUGGGAGAAUUAAGAAACAGUGCAAUGAAGGUGAAUACCGAGUGUUCAGGGAGCGUUCGCAAUCUGAUGGAGGAAGAGAGGCAACUGCUUGUAAAUUGUAGAGUUUCCAGGCCCCUGUACCUCCUCCCCGAUUCCCCAAUGAGCACAGGGCAUUUCCCGGCGGGAGGGGCUCCUCGAUGAUGGAUGCGGUCUUCCCGACGCAUUCUCUCUUGACCAUGUCCUCAAUGGAGGGGAGGAUUGUUGACGGGUAAUAAUUGGCACUCUGAGCCUUAAAGCGAUGGUGCCGCUAACCACACUCCGGGGAAUGGGAAUGUCGAAACCUAGAUGUUUGCCGCUGUUCCGUCUGGAACGUGACAUCUUCUUCGUGUUUCAGUGAAUGUGCAAUCUCCACCCAGAUUGGUUACACAUUCUGCUACAUAGAUCCUACAUCGUCCCCCACUAUCGCACUGACCUCAGCCUCAAUCAAGGGCGCUACCCCACCUCCUUAACAUUCUUGCUCAUCAUUUCGUAUUCCCUGAUAUCCUUGGAUAUUGAAUUCCCAAUCCUCUCCACUUUGCAACCACGUCUCUGUAAUGACCACUAAAUCACUCCCCUUUGUACUGAUUUGUGCCACAAGUUCACUGACCUUAUUUGGAAACCUACGGGCAUUCAGACAAAGUGACUUUACACUCAUUGUGCUUUUAAAAUCAUGUCAUCUUUCUCUCUUUACACUUGAAGUCUCUUCGCUUCACUUCACUCCACCCCUACUUUUCUCUUUUUUAUCUUUUGAUUUUACUCGAUCUUUAUCCACACUUCUCACUUUUAUUUUAUCCAUACUCCGCCAGUCUGUUGAACAGAAACCGUCGUUGUGCGUUUCGCUGGGAUCCAGGUCCCAUCCCGGUUCAGGUGUAGCCCGUCCCGUUGGAACAGCUCCCUCCUUCCCCAAUACUGUUGCCGAUUUCCCAUGAAUUCAAACCCACUUCUCCCACACCAAACCUUGACCCACGCAUUUAACUCUCUAAUCUCCUUUACCUUAAGCCAAUUUCCCAUGGCUGAGGCUGUAAACAGGAGAUUCCCUCCUUUUUGGUUUAGCUUUUUUAUA